rnacentral:misc_RNA from 1 species
GGCUUUCGCAUCGCCAUGCGCGCCGCUGCGCGCCAGCGCGCUUACGCGCGCCAUCACAUCGCCUGCCUGCCGCCGAUUUGCGAGUUGUACUUCGCUCGCAACCGGCCGACGCUGCGCGUCAUAAGCGCGCAAUGCAUCAUCGAUGGUCGCGCCAGUUCGUAGGCCAGCACGCGCGCAUCAAGGAUCGCCUGCGACGCGCCGUUGGAGCCGAACGGAUACAUUGCGUGCGCCGCAUCCCCGAGCAGCGCGCAG